rnacentral:rRNA from 1 species
GACGGAGGGUGCAAGCGUUAUCCGGAAUUACUGGGUGUAAAGGGCGUGUAGGCGGGAAUGUAAGUCAGAUGUGAAAUCCCAGGGCUUAACCCUGGAGCUGCAUCUGAAACUAUGUUUCUUGAGUGCCGGAGAGGAUAGCGGAAUUCCUAGUGUAGCGGUGAAAUGCGUAGAUAUUAGGAGGAACACCAGUGGCGAAGGCGGCUAUCUGGACGGUAACUGACGCUGAGGCGCGAAAGCGUGGGGAGCAAACAGG